rnacentral:rRNA from 1 species
AACAUCUAAGUAACCGCAGGAAAAGAAAUCAACCGAGAUUCCCAAAGUAGUGGCGAGCGAAAUGGGAUGAGCCUUGCACUCUUUAUUUGUAUUGUUAGCCGAACGCUCUGGAAAGUGCGGCCAUAGCGGGUGAUAGCCCCGUAGGCGAAAACAGUAUGAAAGAACUAGGUGUGCGACAAGUAGGGCGGGACACGUGAAAUCCUGUCUGAAGAUGGGGGGACCAUCCUCCAAGGCUAAAUACUCGUGAUCGACCGAUAGUGAACCAGUACCGUGAGGGAAAGGCGAAAAGAACCCCGGGAGGGGAGUGAAAUAGAUCCUGAAACCGCAUGCAUACAAACAGUCGGAGCCUCGUAAGGGGUGACGGCGUACCUUUUGUAUAAUGGGUCAGCGACUUACGUUCAGUAGCAAGCUUAACCGUAUAGGGCAGGCGUAGCGAAAGCGAGUCCGAAUAGGGCGUUCAGUUGCUGGGCGUAGACCCGAAACCAGGUGAUCUAUCCAUGGCCAGGAUGAAGGUGCGGUAACACGUACUGGAGGUCCGAACCCACUAACGUUGAAAAGUUAGGGGAUGAGCUGUGGAUAGGGGUGAAAGGCUAAACAAACCUGGAAAUAGCUGGUUCUCUCCGAAAACUAUUUAGGUAGUGCCUCGUGUCUCACCUUCGGGGGUAGAGCACUGUCAUGGUUGGGGGGUCUAUUGCAGAUUACCCCGCCAUAGCAAACUCCGAAUACCGAAGAGUGCAAUCACGGGAGACAGACAUCGGGUGCUAACGUCCGGUGUCAAGAGGGAAACAACCCAGACCGCCAGCUAAGGUCCCCAAAUAUAGCUAAGUGGGAAACGAAGUGGGAAGGCUAAAACAGUCAGGAGGUUGGCUUAGAAGCAGCCACCCUUUAAAGAAAGCGUAAUAGCUCACUGAUCGAGUCGUCCUGCGCGGAAGAUGUAACGGGGCUAAGCUAUAUAC